rnacentral:misc_RNA from 1 species
GAUGAAGAACGUAGCGAAAUGCGAUAAGUAAUGUGAAUUGCAGAAUUCAGUGAAUCAUCGAAUCUUUGAACGCACAUUGCGCCCCCUGGUAUUCCGGGGGGCAUGCCUGUUCGAGCGUCAUUUCACCACUCAAGCCUCGCUUGGUAUUGGGCAACGCGGUCCGCCGCGUGCCUCAAAUCGACCGGCUGGGUCUUCUGUCUCCUAAGCGUUGUGGAAACUAUUCGCUAAAGGGUGUUCGGGAGGCUACGCCGUAAAACAACCCCAUUUCUAAGGUUGACCUCGGAUCAGGUAGGGAUACCCGCUGAACUUAAGCAUAUCAAUAAGCGGAGGA